rnacentral:rRNA from 1 species
CCCCUAGAUGUUCUGGGCCGCACGCGCGCUACACUGAACAGUUCAACAAGUCUUAACCUUGGCCGAUAGGUCUGGGUAAUCUUUGAACGCUGUUCGUGAUUGGGAUAGACCUUUGCAAUUAUGGGUCUUCAACGAGGAAUUCCUAGUAAACGCAAGUCAUCAGCUUGCAUUGAUUACGUCCCUGCCCUUUGUACACACCGCCCGUCGCACCUACCGAUUGAAUGGUCCGGUGAAAUCUCCGGACUGGCGUGAGUCGGAGCAAUCUGACAAACGCCGGAAAGUUGAUUAAACCUUACCAUUUAGAGGAAGGUGAAGUCGUANCA